UGAAAUCUCGAAGCUCAACUUCGAAACUGCGUCUGAAACUGCUAGUCUAGAGUGUCGGAGGGGGAAGGGGAAUUUCACGUGUAGGGGUAAAAUCCGUAGAGAUGUGAAGGAACACCGGAGGCGAAGGCGCCUGUCUAGACAACUACUGACGCUGAGGCGCGAAAGCGUGGGGAGCAAACAGGAUUAGAUACCCUGGUAGUCCACGCCGUAAACGAUGAACACUAGUUAUUGGGGGUAUUGACUCCCUCAGUGACGCAGCUAACGCAUUAAG
rnacentral:rRNA from 1 species